rnacentral:rRNA from 1 species
GUGGGGAAUAUUGCGCAAUGGGCGAAAGCCUGACGCAGCGACGCCGCGUGAGGGAUGAAGGUUUUCGGAUCGUAAACCUCUGUCAGAAGGGAAGAAACUACAUUGUGCUAAUCAGCAGUGUACUGACGGUACCUUCAAAGGAAGCACCGGCUAACUCUGUGCCAGCAGCCGCGGUAAGACAGAGGGUGCUAGCGUUGUUCGGAAUGACUGGGCGUAAAGGGCGCGUAGGCUGCCUUUUAAGUCAGGCGUGAAAGCCCCGGGCUUAACCUGGGAACUGCGUUUGAUACUGAAAGGCUUGAGUGCGGAAGAGGAGAGUGGAAUUCCUAGUGUAGAAGUGAAAUUCGUAGAUAUUAGGAGGAACACCGGAGGCGAAGGCGACUCUCUGGUCCGCAACUGACGCUGAGGCGCGAAAGCGUGGGGAGCAAACAGGAUUAGAAACCCUGGUAGUCC